ACAAAACUUUACUGUAAUUAUUUCAUAUUCAAUUACAAUUACAAAAUAUUUGACUUAUCCUAGUGAUAAUUCAGUUUCACAAUUAAAUGAGUUGCAAUUGAUUUUGCUUACAUCUAGAAUCAACUUUAGUGACAGGAAUUUCUUGUUUUGGCAAUAUUUUAAAAAGUGUCUAAAUCGACCUUUUCAUUGUCGACUUUGGAAUAUUUAUUGUAUUUUUUCCUCAAUUUUAGUAAUAUAUUUUAAAAUUUAUUGUUCCUACUCACUUAAAAGUUAUAAGCGUGUGUUAAAACUGUAAGUCUAUAUUAUUCAGGUAAAAGAAAAGCAUAUUAAUUAUUGAUUUACUACUAUAUCUCUCUUCCAGUUCUUCAAAUUAGUACAGUAAAUACUGCAACAAAGGCAAACAAAAGUGAAUUUGAAACAUAUUUGCAAAGCUAUAGACAAAAAGUGUGACACACUUAGUUUGACUCUCGAUCCUAUGUUUUAUGAUGGUUAUAUAGUCUGAAUUUUGCUCAGCUACCUAUGCUCCACCUACCUAUGCAGAAAUUUAUUUUGCUGUGGCACUACUAGCUAAUAAAUACAAAUUUGAUAGUGUCGCUGCUACAAUGUAGGAGAAUGAAACAGAGGAGAUUUUAGUGAGUGAAGUUACCCUAUUGUGGCAAGGUCUGCUAGUUGUGCCCAAAUCCUUUCACCUUUCUUGCUGGUGUGAUCCUAUGACUAAAUUCUUAACUAUGGUAUGUGAGUGGAAUGAUGUGUAUAACUUCUCGUUUAACUGAUUAAGAUGACUAUACUGAAUUUUCUCUUUCCUUUCUUGGUGGUUGAAAAUGGCAACAACUGAAAAAUCUUGGAAGUGACAAGUUAAGAAUAGAACUAUCCUAACUAUCUGACCCAAUGACAAGUAUCCUCAUGAGAAAAAGACAGGAGAGAUUGAACACAGAAAGAAGAGAAGAAACACACACACAGAGGAGAAGGUGAUGUGAAGAUGGAGGCAGAGAUUGGAGCGAAGUGGUUACAGGCCAAGGACACUAAUGGUGACAUUCACCAGGAACUCCCUGCAGACACCUUGAUUUGAGAUGUCUAGUCUUUAGAACUAUUGUAGAAUAAAUAUCUGUUAUUUUCA